rnacentral:rRNA from 1 species
AUGGAUGACAUUGUUGAUGCAUUGGUUCUCAAGCUUCACUCAAAGAUAUGUUAUCAUAGGGAUGCCAGUGUCGACUACCUGGAAAUAAAGACCACGGUUGAUAAACUCGUAGAAGCGAACAAAAAACUCAAGGAUGAGAAAGUGGACUUCCAGGAUGUCAUUAAUAUGGUCACAGAAGAAAAGGAGAAUUUGCAGCAUGACUGUCAAGUAAUCAAGGAGCGGGUGGCAAAAAAGGAGGAGCAACUUGAAACUGUAAAAAGGGAACUUGAAGAAGCAAAACAUGAACAUGUGGCAGCAAAGAAGGAGCUUGAGGAAGAAAAACUUGGCCAUGUGGCAACAAAGAAGGAGCUUGCGGCGGCACAACAACAACUUGCUCAAAGGAACGAAGAGCUGGAGAUUUUAAGGAAGAAGCUUCAAGAGAGUGAACAUGUACCUUCCAAAAGGGUCGAGGUGGAACAGUGUGUCCUAGCUGUUGCAAGUGAGGAAGGAAGCCAUCAUCGUAGCAGGCCAUGA